AUGAUCAUCCUCUUACUACUCAUUCUCGGCUUCAAGCCAUUGGUCACCGCGGCCGAUCCACUGGCGUGGCGCUGUGACUCCCAUUUCGGCAAUGAAGCUAGUACAUACAAAGCUAACAUUAAGCUCCUAUCUGCUGCACUAUCUAUGAGUGUCUCAUCCACACAAACUAUCUUUGGCAAGGGCUUCACGGGAACCGAACAUGAUCGCAUUUAUGGCACGGCGCAAUGCCGCGGCGAUGCCAAUGCAUCUGCCUGCCCCAGCUGCAUCACCACAGCAUUCCAGGACAUUAGGUGGCUGUGCGUACUCCAAACGGUCUCAGCUGUCUUGUAUGAGGACUGCAUCGUGCUGCUCCAAGAGACAGCCAAACAGGCAGCCUACAACUCCACAAUGAUGUACGCCACCGGCCGCCUGGAUAUCUUCCACGCACUCCCGCUGCUCUACUCUCUGGCACAGUGCAACCUGGACCUACCACCGAACGAUUGCUGGAAUUGCCUCAAGAAUAUCAGCAGCGCGGCAAAGAGUUUCUUCAAAGAGCAACACGGUGAAUGGAUUUCUGGUACGUGGUGCAAUUUCAGGUACAGCACGAAUCAGUUCUAUGAGGGCCAGCCCAUGCAGCAGAUCGACUGCACCUCCGUUUGUGUGAAAUCUUCAAUUUUAGGGCAUAUAAUAAAGGUUUUGAUCAUUACAACUGUUGUGCUUCUACUAGCAUCCUUUUUCUGCUUCAUCACUUGGUUUGGACUGGCUGUGGAUCUAAAAAAUCUCUUAGGCUGUUUAGACUUAUAUACAGCAUGUCCUGAAAGGGAAGGUGAAGAACUAGUCUGGGGAAUAGGGAGGAGUUCAGAGUUCAAGCUUUUUGACUUCUCACAAGUAUCAGAUGCUACAAGUAACUUCUCAGAUGAAAAUAAAUUGGGGCAAGGUGGCUUUGGCCCAGUAUACAAGGGCCAGCUUCCGAAAGGUAUGGAGAUUGCAAUCAAGAGACUUGCUUCAAACUCUUGCCAAGGUUUCACUGAGUUCAAAAAUGAAGUCCAACUCAUAGCCAAGCUCCAGCACACAAAUUUGGUUAGGCUGUUGGGAUGUUGCUCACAAGGAGAGGAGAAAAUAUUGAUCUAUGAAUAUUUGCCAAAUAAAAGCUUGGACUCCUUUAUCUUUGAUGAAACUAAAAAGGCUUUAUUAAAAUGGAAUAAAAGAAAAGUGAUCAUUGAAGGGAUAGCACAAGGACUUCUAUAUUUGCAUAAACACUCUCGGUUACGUGUCAUACAUAGGGAUCUUAAAGCAAGCAACAUUCUUUUGGACAGUGAAAUGAAUCCUAAAAUAUCAGAUUUUGGGCUUGCAAAAAUAUUCAGCUCAAAUGAUACUGAAGGAAACACAAAAAGGAUUGCUGGGACAUAUGGGUACAUGGCUCCCGAGUAUGCUUCAGAGGGUCUCUUCUCGAUCAAAUCUGAUGUAUUCAGCUUCGGUGUGCUAAUUCUUGAGAUCAUCCAUGGAAAAAGGAACUCAUGUUUCCAUCAAUUUGGGGACUUCUUCAACCUUCUUGGAUAUGCAUGGAAGUUGUGGAAAGAGGAAAGAUGGCUUGAGUUUGUCGAUGAAUCAAUAGUUUCAGAGUCACAUGCAUCAGAGACAAUGAGGUGUAUCAACAUCGCAUUGCUGUGUGUGCAAGAGAAUGCAGCUGACAGACCCACCACGAUAAGCGUGGUUACAAUGCUAAGCAGUGAAAGUAUGACCCUGCCUGAACCUAAGCAUCCAGCAUAUUUCCACAUAAGGGUAACAGAGGAAGAGCCGCUUAGUGCUAAUGAUGUGACAAUGUCUGCUCUACAGGGCAGAUAG
rnacentral:rRNA from 1 species